rnacentral:lncRNA from 1 species
CUGAUUGUGUUUAAUGGCACAGACUCCAUCAGCGGAUCGACACAAACUCCAGAAUCACAUCAGUUGUGGUGGAUUUCUGCCCUGAUCUUCAUUGUUCUUCUGGUUUUGAUCUGUUUCUUGCUGCAUAAAAGGAUCUUCAGUUGUAUUUCGAGAGCAGUUACAAGCAUAUUUCAGCGCAAUGAUUCAGAAAACAGGUGAGUGAAUCUAAGCAAGAGAAAGACUUAAACCCAGUUUGACUGAAUCACAUCAACACCGAAGUUUCAUUUGAGACUCGAUGAAUCUUCAUCUGCUGAAUCUGAAUCUGUUUCUCACAGGGAUCCUGAAUCUGGUGUCCAAAUGAUGAUCAGAUCAGAUUAAUCUGAAUCACCGAAUCAAUUUGAAUCUGAACAGAUCAACGGCUCCAUGUCCAGAGAACGAUCAGAAACAUCCUGUCAUUUUUCUUAUUCACUCAAACUGAAUGGGCUGAAUGUAAUUUAUUAAUGUUUUCUGUCUGACGGAAGUGGCGAUAUUUCAUUUGCUGUAAUUGCUGGUUCUGUGUCAUAUACUAUGUAGCUGAAAUAAUAAGGCUAAAUUGGGUGAACAGAAACAUGCAAUGAUUUGAACUCAGAUCAGUUAGGAUGAUAGAUUGUUUUAAUGAUGAACUCCAAUUAAAUGUUUCCUGUGAAAAUAAAAAAAGAAUGAACUGUCUGACCACA